rnacentral:rRNA from 1 species
AUGACAAGGAACCUCGUGGAAACAUACAACUUUGUCCUCAGAGGAAACCGGGCAUUGCCACUUACAGCCAUCGUUGAGGGUAUUUUCUAUGGCACCGUCAAGUAUUUCAGAGAUAGACGUCAAAAAGCAGAGCAACAUAUCUUCAACAACCCGAAUACACGGUACUAUGAAAGAGUCACGAAGUACAUGGACAACAAUAUGCAAAAAGCUAGGUCACACACUAUAGCUGCCAUCAGUAAUCAAGAAAGAAGGUUUGAGGUCCGCUUAGCCAACAACAAAUUCGGAUGUGCAAAUGAGUUGAGGACGCAUGAGGUGAAAAUUGGUAAUGAAGCCUGGCCAACGUGUGAGUGCACAUGCAACAAACCGAAAUUGCUUCACCUACCUUGA